rnacentral:misc_RNA from 1 species
GAUGAAGAACGUAGUGAAAUGCGAUACGUAAUGUGAAUUGCAGAAUUCAGUGAAUCAUCGAAUCUUUGAACGCAUAUUGCGCUCUCUGGUAUUCCGGAGAGCAUGCUUGUUUGAGUAUCAGUAAACACCUCAACUCCCUUUUCUUUUUUGAAAUGGGAGCUGGACUUGAGUGAUCCCAACGCUUUUCUCACCGGAAAGUGGCGGGUUACUUGAAAUGCAGGUGCAGCUGGACUUUUCUCUGAGCUAUAAGCAUAUCUAUUUAGUCUGCCUAAAAACAGAUGAUUACCUUUGCUGCAGCUAACAUAAAGGAGAUUAGUUCUUGUGCUGACUGAUGCAGGAUUCACAGAGACAGCUUCGGCUGACUUUGUAAACUCGAUCUCAAAUCAAGUAAGACUACCCGCUGAACUUAAGCAUAUCAAUAAGCGGAGGA